rnacentral:rRNA from 1 species
GAUCCUGGCUCAGAACGAACGCUGGCGGCAGGCUUAACACAUGCAAGUUGAACGGGAUUGCUAAGUGCUUGCACGGAGCAAUGAGAGUAGCGCACUGGUGAGUAACACGUGGGAACAUGCCUUUUGGUGGGGGACAACAGAGGGAAACUUCUGCUAAUACCGCAUAAGCCCUAAGGGGGAAAGAUUAAUUGCCGAAAGAUUGGCCCGCGGAAGAUUAGGUAGUUGGUGGGGUAAAGGCCUACCAAGCCGACGAUCUAUAGCUGGUCUGAGAGGACGAACAGCCACAUUGGAACUGAGACACGGUCCAGACUCCUACGGGAGGCAGCAGUGAGGAAUAUUGGGCAAUGGAGGAAACUCUGACCCAGCCAUGCCGCGUGAGUGAAGAAGGUUUUCGAAUUGUAAAGCUCUUUCGGAUACGAGGAUGAUGACGGUAGUAUCUAAAGAAGCCCCGGCAAACUUCGUGCCAGCCGCCGC